GACGAACGCUGGCGGCGUGCCUAAUACAUGCAAGUCGAACGCUGAAGGAGGAGCUUGCUUCUCUGGAUGAGUUGCGAACGGGUGAGUAACGCGUAGGUAACCUGCCUGGUAGCGGGGUAUAACUAUUGGAAACGAUAUCUAAUACCGCAUAAGAGUAGAUGUCGCAUGACAUUUGCUUAAAAUGUGCAAUUGCCUCACUACCAGAUGGACCUGCGUUGUAUUAGCUAGUUGGUGAGGUAACGGCUCACCAAGGCAACGAUACAUAGCCGACCUGAGAGGGUGAUCGGCCACACUGGGACUGAGACACGGCCCAGACUCCUACGGGAGGCAGCAGUAGGGAAUCUUCGGCAAUGGACGGAAGUCUGACCGAGCAACGCCGCGUGAGUGAAGAAGGUUUUCGGAUCGUAAAGCUCUGUUGUAAGAGAAGAACGAGUGUGAGAGUGGAAAGUUCACACUGUGACGGUAUCUUACCAGAAAGGGACGGCUAACUACGUG
rnacentral:rRNA from 1 species